GACGAACGCUGGCGGCGUGCUUAACACAUGCAAGUCGAACGGUAAGGCCCUUCGGGGUACACGAGUGGCGAACGGGUGAGUAACACGUGGGUGAUCUGCCCUGCACUUCGGGAUAAGCCUGGGAAACUGGGUCUAAUACCGGAUAGGACCACUGCCUGCAUGGGUGGUGGUGGAAAGCUUUUGCGGUGUGGGAUGGGCCCGCGGCCUAUCAGCUUGUUGGUGGGGUGAUGGCCUACCAAGGCGACGACGGGUAGCCGGCCUGAGAGGGUGACCGGCCACACGGGGACGGAGAUACGGCCCAGACUCCUACGGGAGGCAGCAGUGGGGAAUAUUGCACAAUGGGCGCAAGCCUGAUGCAGCGACGCCGCGUGAGGGAUGACGGCCUUCGGGUUGUAAACCUCUUUCAGCACCGACGAAGCGCAAGUGACGGUAGGUGCAGAAGAAGGACCGGCCAACUACGUGCCAGCCGCCGCAGUAA
rnacentral:rRNA from 1 species